CAUCUUGAAUGAGUUUGGCACCUAAUUUAUCUCUUUGGUUAGAAGGUUGAACAAAUUGUAAAUCAGAAGGUUGGUUGCUGUGUCUUCCUCGUGAUUCUUUAUGACUACGAAGUUGGUAUUCAAGACAAAAAUCUUGAUGCAACAGCGCAACGUAAAUUCACGACAAAGUUAGCUAGUUCAGAUAAAAUUUUUGAUGAAAUUUGUAGUAUUUAGUAAACAAGGUAGUUGUGAGGAUCUCUAUGCUAUAGCCAUUUGUUGGACUGUUGUAGUGGGAUAGCGUU
rnacentral:misc_RNA from 1 species